UAGCGCCAGACCGCGCAGCAAGCGCGGUUGACGAGGACCGGGGAGUAUCGAACGAGUCAGCGGAUGCCCCGGCGGCAGUACUGCUGCCGUAUUUUCCCACAAAGCCGGCGGGCGACCGCCGGACAAAAAGGAAAAA
rnacentral:ncRNA from 1 species